rnacentral:rRNA from 1 species
UACAGAGGUCCCAAGCGUUGUUCGGAUUCACUGGGCGUAAAGGGUGCGUAGGUGGUCGGGUAAGUCCGAUGUGAAAUCUCCGAGCUCAACUCGGAAACUGCACCGGAUACUAUUCGGCUGGAGGGUUGGAGGGGGGACUGGAAUGCUUGGUGUAGCAGUGAAAUGCGUAGAUAUCAAGCGGAACACCGGUGGCGAAGGCGGCUUCCUGGACCGACACUGACGCUGAGGCGCGAAAGCUAGGGGAGCAAACGGG